rnacentral:rRNA from 1 species
GCUUACGGCCAUACCAGCCUGGGUACGCCCGAUCUCGUCUGAUCUCGGAAGCUAAGCAGGGUCGGGCCUGGUUAGUACUUGGAUGUGAGACCGCCUGGGAAUACCAGGUGCUGUAAGCA